UACGUAGGGGGCAAGCGUUGUCCGGAAUCAUUGGGCGUAAAGAGCGUGUAGGCGGCUCGGUAAGUCCGCUCUGAAAGCCCGGGGCUCAACCCCGGGAGGCGGGCGGAUACUGUCGGGCUAGAGUCCGGAAGAGGCGAGUGGAAUUCCUGGUGUAGCGGUGAAAUGCGCAGAUAUCGGGAGGAACACCGGUGGCGAAGGCAGAUCUCUGGGCCGUAACUGACGCUGAGGAGCGAAAGCAUGGGGAGCGAACAGG
rnacentral:rRNA from 1 species